GGGCUAUUUUGCAAUACUCCAGAGUGUCAAUACUAUUUGAUUAAUUACACUCUGGUCAUGGGAUACAAAAGAAAAUUCAACAUUCUUGAUGGAUGACACAAAACUCCUUAAUUGCUUACUGUAACAAAUCUGCAGCUGAUAAGAAUUUGCAUUCAGCAAUUGAUCCAUCAUCCUUUCGAGCAAGCAGAUGUACUUCCUUGAGUCCUGGCCUUGACCAUGAGUGAACUGCAAUUAUACAUCUUGUGAUUCUCUCAAGCCAGCUUGGAUGACAUUCAGGCAGUUUCAAAACAUGUUUUCCUUUGGAGCAUUAAAAGUAAUCUCUGAUUAAACUCUUUAGUUAUCUAUCAUAAUAAAUUGGUGUA